UAAGGUAGUGUUUGUUUUGAGGUACUGAGACAGAGACUGAGAGACUGAGACUCAGUAUCGUGUUUGUUAGUUCAGAGACUGGUACUAAAAUUUCUGUCUCUGUCUUUAAAAUUUCAGUAUUUCAGUACUUCCAAAAAGUAGGGACACAGGGGACUGAAAUUUUUAAAGAUAGAGACUAAAACUUUAAUAACAUUUUAUACCUAAAAUACUUUCAUUUCAAUUAAUUAAUUCCAAUUUUACCCUUUAUACAAAUUGAAUUAGAGUUUCAAUCUUAUUUCAAUUCCUGUCUCCCAUUUUGCACCAAACAGAAUACUGAGAUUUAUUUCAAUCCUGUCUCUUAGUCUCUGUCUCUCAGUCUCAGUCUUUCCGUCUCUAUCUCUACACCAAACGCUACC
rnacentral:lncRNA from 1 species